GAUGAACGCUGGCGGCGUGCCUAAUACAUGCAAGUCGAGCGAACAGACGAGGAGCUUGCUCCUUUGACGUUAGCGGCGGACGGGUGAGUAACACGUGGAUAACCUACCUAUAAGACUGGGAUAACUUCGGGAAACCGGAGCUAAUACCGGAUAACAUGCUGAACCGCAUGGUUCAACAGUGAAAGACGGUCUUGGUGUCUCUUAUAGAUGGAUCCGCGCCGCAUUAGCUAGUUGGUAAGGUAACGGCUUACCAAGGCAACGAUGCGUAGCCGACCUGAGAGGGUGAUCGGCCACACUGGAGCUGGGACACGGUCCAGACUCCUACGGGAGGCAGCAGUAGGGAUUCUUCCGCAAUGGGCGAAAGCCUGACGGAGCAACGCCGCGUGAGUGAAGAAGGUCUUCGGAUCGUAAAACUCUGUUAUUAGGGAAGAACAAAUGUGUAAGUAACUAUGCACGUCUUGACGGUACCUAAUCAGAAAGCCACGGCUAACUACGUG
rnacentral:rRNA from 1 species